rnacentral:rRNA from 1 species
UACGUAGGGAGCAAGCGUUGUCCGGAUUUACUGGGUGUAAAGGGCGCGUAGGCGGCUUUGCAAGUCAGAUGUGAAAUCUAUGGGCUCAACCCAUAAACUGCAUUUGAAACUGUAGAGCUUGAGUGAAGUAGAGGCAGGCGGAAUUCCCCGUGUAGCGGUGAAAUGCGUAGAGAUGGGGAGGAACACCAGUGGCGAAGGCGGCCUGCUGGGCUUUAACUGACGCUGAGGCACGAAAGCGUGGGUAGCAAACAGG